rnacentral:lncRNA from 1 species
CCCGUUGUACAAAAAUCCACACAAAGAAUCCACUUUGUAAAUAUUCCCCCACAAAGCUUCCCUUUGUACAAAUUCCCACAGAGUAUCCCCAAUAAAAUCCCCAUUGAGAAUCCCCAAGCAAAACGGGACACAAAAAGGGGAGCAUCACAAGGCAAAUCAUCACGGAAUUUGGAAAUACAAGCCUGAGCAGUCCAAAAGGGUUUCACCAUUUGAAUCCAAUCAAUGGCAGGAUUUCUCAACAGAAAUAAGGACGCAACAAAGCAAUGGGAACAAUCAAGGUCACCGAACCAACCACCAUUUCCGAACUAACAAUUGUUCUUUGUUCGAGAAGUUGAAACAGGUAUAAUCCAAGACAACCGUGCAAGAAGCAGGUGUCACCCAACGAAGAAGGUACAUGAGUACAAGAAACAGUUUGGCAAUAAGGAAUUCACUCGAAAGGUAAGUUUCUAAGAGAUUCCCUUUUAUCUUCUACUAAAACAAGAAAAUUCAAAAAAAAAAGGUCUGUUGGUAUCCUCAAACUUUGUCCCCAGCCAGUCAGCAUUAGGGCUUUAAACCCUAAACUGAACUUUUUCCUUUAGUCAGCAUUAGAGUUUUAAACCCUAAACUGAACUCUUUCAUUUCAGUCAGCAUUAGGGUUUUAAAACCCUAAACUGAACUUUUCCAUUCAGUCAGCAUUAGGGUUUUAAACCCUAAACUGAACUCUNN